CCGCUGCCUCCUCCAUCUUCACCCAAAAACCUUCACUCCCAACAAUGGCUACCUCCUCCCUCUUCAACCCCACCAUUUCUUUCCCUUCUCGCAACCCCAAGCUUCAAUCCACCCCAAAAUUCCGCAACCCCAUUCUCAGAAUCCCUAAAGCUACCUCUGAUUCCUCCCCCUCUCCACCAACUGACGGCUCUCCCCCAUUGUCCACUCUCAAGAACCGUCGUUCUGCCGACGAGAACAUCAAAGAUGAAGCCCGUCGCCACUGUGCAGCCUCCGGAGAAGAUCGGAGCAAAUUCUCGGCCAAGUACGUCCCUUUUAACGCUAGCCUCGACUCCACUGAGUGCUACUCUCUCGACGAGAUCGUUUACCGAAGUCGAUCUGGUGGGUUACUCGACAUUCAACACGACAUGGAGGCAUUGAAGAAAUAUGACGGCGCCUAUUGGCGAAACCUCUUCGAUUCGCGCGUGGGGAAAACUACGUGGCCUUAUGGUUCCGGCGUUUGGAGUAAGAAGGAAUGGGUGUUGCCGGAGAUCGAUCCUGACGAUAUUGUCGGCGCUUUCAAAGGUAACUCAAACUUGUUUUGGGCUGAGCGUUUUGGCAAACAGUUUCUGGGUAUGAAUGAUUUAUGGGUUAAACAUUGUGGGAUUAGCCAUACUGGGAGUUUCAAGGAUUUGGGUAUGACUGUUUUGGUUAGCCAAGUGAAUCGGUUAAGGUAUGACUGUUUUGGCAAACACUUUCUUGUGAGAGGAACACCUUGUACAGUGUUCACAAAAUCUAACGAACCCAAGUUUGUGGAACAAAGAAAACUUCAACAAAUUUAUAAUAGGAAGAAAGUUUUAUGGAAGAAAAAUGUUUAUGAGAAAGGUUAAAAACCAAUUCGAAGAAAAAACAUAUUUAUAGAUUCAUGACCAUUUGGAUAGUCUAUUCCUCAAGUUGGUUAAAAUUUGAAAUGGUGUCUAUUCAUAAAGGAACAUGCUACUCAUGGAGUUAAAAGGAUACAACCCUAUACGAAUAGUUGUCUACAGUUUAUUCCAAUGUAUACAAUAUACAUGGUGAAGUGGACCAAGAAUUUUCAACCUUGUUAAAAAAAAAGGAUUUAUGUGAAGGUUAAGACAAACAGAAAGGUAAAAGAUUCUUCUCCUACCCCUCUCUCAACCACUGAUAAAGAGCCUAGUUGAAUUUGAAUUUAAGAGCUAGCUCAUGUGAGCAACAAUAGAACGACUUUGAAUAUAUAAACUAUACAAGAGAAAAUGAUAAGUAUACAAUGCUUUAAACUUCCCUUCUUUUCUAUGUUUAUGCUCAAAUCUUGUCUUCAUCUUUAUUUUUUGUUUGUUUCAAAUAUUUGGGGAAUGCGAUUUUGGUUUUGAAACUGAUGGAGAUGAAAUUAAGGAACCAAAUGAUGAGUGUUUUCAAAAGAAGACGCAACCAUGAUGUGAACCGAACAGCUUUUAGCUAUUGAGGAUUAAUUUUGGUCGAGGAUGGUUCUUUCUUUCUUUUAUUAUUAUUAUUAUUAUUUUUGUGGGUUUUGAACUUUUGUCCUUCUCAAUAGAUACACCUACUUGACUUGGCCAAAAUUGGUAAUUCUGAUGGUUCCUUAGUUCAUCAUUCCUCUAUGAAAUUUUAGUUUUGAUUUUAGAAGUAUUCUUUCUCUCAGGACUUCCAAAUCUAUCUUCAUACUUCAUUUUGAUUGACAUGGUUUGGAUGAAUUAGAAUAAUUUUCAAUAGUUUCUGGAUGGUGGGCUGGUUAACAAAGUUUGUUGCAUGUUUUCUCAAUGUGCAAUUGUGUUAAUUCUAAAAUUUGAAUUUGUAGUCGCAACUUAAACCAUUCACAUUUUAAGUGAUGGAUAGUACAGUUAACAUGGAUGUGGACAAGACUUUUGUUCGAGAUUUGGACUACUGAAACACAACCGUGUCUGGCUAUGAGUUGAAUGAGGAAAAUAAACUGUACAAGUCCUCUGUGAUGGUUACAGCCGGUGCAAAUCAGGCAUUCGUUAACCUUGUUCUUACAUUGUGUGAUGCUGGGGAUUCUGUGGUUAUGUUUGCUCCGUAUUACUUCAAUGCCUACAUGUCUUUUCAAAUGACUGGUGUCACUAAUAUAUUGGUUGGUCCCAGUGGCCCAAAAACACUUCAUCCUGAUCCAGAUAAUUGAAGUGAUAUCGGGUUGAAAGCUAAGCGAUUGUGUAGAAAUGGUCAAGCGACCGUUGAAAAUUGAAGACUGAGAAGGCAUUUAGGAUUUUUAAUUAUUUAAUUCUUGUAUUAGAAUUUUUUUUCAUGUACUAUUGUAGAAAUGUAUAUAUAAACAUAAUAUUAAUAUUUUAUUUUGUGUAUUCAAAUGUAAAAGACAAAUGUUAUAGUUUCUAACAUAAUAUGAAUUUCAUUGAUUUGUUGGCGUGUGAAAAA